GGNACGCNUCAGGCACGAAAGCGUGGGGAAGNCAAACAGGAUUAGAUACCCUGGUAGUCCACGCCCUAAACGAUGUCAACUGGGUGUUGGGGAAGCGAUUCCUGGGUACCGUAGCUAACGCGUGAAGUUGACCGCCUGGGGAGUACGGCCGCAAGGUUAAAACUCAAAGGAAUUGACGGGGACCCGCACAAGCGGUGGAUGAUGUGGAUUAAUUCGAUGCAACGCGAACAACCUUACCUACCCUUGACAUGUCCGAAAGCCUGCUGAGAGGUGGGUGUGCCCGAAAGGGAAUCGGAACACAGGUGCUGCAUGGCUGUCGUCAGCUAA
rnacentral:rRNA from 1 species